GAGACCAUGAAGAACCCAGAUGUCUUCCCCUUGGCCCCCUGCUCCAAAGACCCCACCGAGGGCGCCGCCUCCGUGACGCUGGGCUGCCUGGUCAGGGACUACUUCCCAGGGCCGGUCACCGUGACCUGGGACACAGGGUCCCUGACAAAGAGUGUCAUGACCCUGCCCGUCGCCUUCAGCCUGAACUCCAGCCUCUACAUCACCAGCAGCCACGUGACCGUCUCUGGCGAGGGGGAUGAACAGCGGUUCACCUGCCGUGUGGAGCACCCCGGGUCCGCGCCAGUCAACGUGACCGUAUCCCCAGGGCCAUCGCCUCUGUCCUCAGCAUGCAAGGCGAACGUCACUCUGCCCAAGGUGAGGAUCUUCCACUCGUCCUGCGACCCCAGAGGCAACCCCCUCACCCCCAUGCAGCUGCUGUGCCUCAUCCCCGGCUUCGCCCCGGGCGACCUCAAGGUCACCUGGCUGGUGGACGGACAGCCCGGGAACCAGCACUGGGUCAUCAGCUCCGCCAGCUGGGAGGGCGUGCCGGCCUCCACCUUCAGCGAGCUCUACAUCAGCCAGGGCGAGUGGCUGUCCCGGAAAACCUACACCUGCCAGGUCAGCCUGCAUGGCUGCAAGGUUAAGGCUGAAGCCAGCGCCUGCCUAGAGCCGGAGCCCCGAGGUGUGAGCGUCUACGUGAUCCCGCCCAGCCCCCUGGACCUGUACGUGCACAAGUCGCCCAAGGUCACCUGCCUGGUGGUGGACCUGGCCAGCCUGGAGAAGAUGAGCCUGGAGUGGUCCCGGGAGGGCAGAGGCCUUCUGGCCCAGGCCACCCAGAACGCCAAGCGCCACUUCAACAUGACCUACUCCGUCACCUCCACCCUGCCCGUGGACGCGGGCGACUGGGUCGAGGGCGAGACCUACCAGUGCAAACUGAGCCACCCGGACCUGCCCCAGCCCAUCGUGCGCACCAUCGCCAAGGCCCCAGGCAAGCGUGCUGCCCCCGAGGUCUUCGUGUUCCCGCCGCCCGAGGAGCAGGGGGCCCAGGACACGCUCACCCUCACCUGCCUGAUCCAGGGCUUCUCCCCUGCCGACAUCUCGGUGCAGUGGCUGCAGGACGAGGCCCUGAUCACCAGAGACCAACACGUCACCACGCGGCCCCUCAGGAACCCGGGGGCCAGCCCCACCUUCUUCGUCUUCAGCCGCCUGGAGGUCAAACGGGCCGAGUGGGAGAAGAAGAGCAAAUUCACCUGCCGAGUGACUCACGAGGCUCUGGGCAGCUCACGGACCCGCGAGCAUUCGGUGUCCAAAGGCUCUGAGCUGGACCUGCAGGACGUGUGCCUGGGGGCGGCCGAGGCGGAGGAGCUGGAUGGGCUGUGGCACAGCCUCUUCGUCUUCAUCGCGCUCUUCCUGCUCAGCGUGACCUAUGGCGCCUCCGUCACCCUCUUCAAGGUGCAGUGGGUCUUGGGCGCCGUCCUGCAGGGGCCGCCCCAGGCCGCCCAUGACUACGAGAACAUCGAGGACACCGCGUGGCUGGCAGUCCGGGCACGAAGCAGCUGA